UGAGAUGUUAUGCUCUUUAUCUGGUCUGUUGUUUCCUCAUCUACACGUCAUAUAUUUCAGUUGAUCUUUUUUCUUUUUUUUUUUGGUGCAUUUAUUUUGUUUUUAUGAUGACUUUGCUGAAUGUAUUAGGGACUAAAGUAUAGCUUUAGCUUUUCUCCGACAAGUUCUUUGUGGAUUAAUUGGUUUGAAUUGUCCACAAAAGUUCCUAUAUCUUCCUUCAAUAAACACUGGGGAAAAGAUCAUGUAAUUAG
rnacentral:misc_RNA from 1 species